rnacentral:rRNA from 1 species
CCUACGGGAGGCAGCAGUGGGGGAUAUUGCACAAUGGGGGAAACCCUGAUGCAGCGACGCCGCAUGGGUGAAGAAGCGCCUCGGCGCGUAAAGCCCUGGCAGCAGGGAAGAAAAUGACGGUACCUGAAGAAGAAGCCCCGGCUCACUACGUGCCAGCAGCCGCGGUAAUACGUAGGGGGCAAGCGUUAUCCGGAUUUACUGGGUGUAAAGGGGGCGCAGACGGCGAUGCAAGCCAGGAGUGAAAGCCCGGGGCCCAACCCCGGGGCUGCUCGUGGAACUGCGUGGCUAGAGUGCAGGAGGGGCAGGCGGAAUGCCUGGUGUAGCGGUGAAAUGCGUAGAUAUCAGGAGGAACACCGGUGGCGAAGGCGGCCUGCUGGACUGCAACGGACGUUGAGGCCCGAAAGCGUGGGGAGCAAACAGGAUUAGAUACCCUUGUAGUC